rnacentral:rRNA from 1 species
AUGAACGCUGGCGGCGUGCCUAACACAUGCAAGUCGUGCGAUUUACUUCGGUAAAGAGCGGCGGACGGGUGAGUAACGCGUGGGUAACCUGCCCUGUACACACGGAUAACAUACCGAAAGGUAUGCUAAUACGAGAUAAUAUGCUUUUAUCGCAUGGUAGAAGUAUCAAAGCUUUUGCGGUACAGGAUGGACCCGCGUCUGAUUAGCUAGUUGGUGAGGUAACGGCUCACCAAGGCGACGAUCAGUAGCCGACCUGAGAGGGUGAUCGGCCACAUUGGAACUGAGACACGGUCCAAACUCCUACGGGAGGCAGCAGUGGGGAAUAUUGCACAAUGGGCGAAAGCCUGAUGCAGCAACGCCGCGUGAGCGAUGAAGGCCUUCGGGUCGUAAAGCUCUGUCCUCAAGGAAGAUAAUGACGGUACUUGAGGAGGAAGCCCCGGCUAACUACGUG